rnacentral:rRNA from 1 species
CCUACGGGAGGCAGCAGUAGGGAAUCUUCCGCAAUGGACGAAAGUCUGACGGAGCAACGCCGCGUGAACGAUGAAGGCCUUCGGGUCGUAAAGUUCUGUUGUUAGGGAAGAACAAGUGCUAGUUGAAUAAGCUGGCACCUUGACGGUACCUAACCAGAAAGCCACGGCUAACUACGUGCCAGCAGCCGCGGUAAUACGUAGGUGGCAAGCGUUGUCCGGAAUUAUUGGGCGUAAAGCGCGCGCAGGCGGUUUCUUAAGUCUGAUGUGAAAGCCCCCGGCUCAACCGGGGAGGGUCAUUGGAAACUGGGAAACUUGAGUGCAGAAGAGGAAAGUGGAAUUCCAAGUGUAGCGGUGAAAUGCGUAGAGAUUUGGAGGAACACCAGUGGCGAAGGCGACUUUCUGGUCUGUAACUGACGCUGAGGCGCGAAAGCGUGGGGAGCAAACAGGAUUAGAUACCCUGGUGGUCCACGCUGUAAACGAUGAGUGCUAAGUGUUAGAGGGUUUCCGCCCUUUAGUGCUGAAGUUAACGCAUUAAGCACUCCGCCUGGGGAGUACGGUCGCAAGACUGAAACUUAAAGGAAAUUGACGG